rnacentral:rRNA from 1 species
ACGGAAGGCAGCAGUGGGGAAUAUUGCACAAUGGGGGAAACCCUGAUGCAGCGACGCCGCGUGAGUGAAGAAGUUAUUCGUAAUGUAAAGCUCUAUCAGCAGGGAAGAAAAUGACGGUACCUGACUAAGAAGCCCCGGCUAACUACGUGCCAGCAGCCGCGGUAAUACGUAGGGGGCAAGCGUUAUCCGGAUUUACUGGGUGUAAAGGGAGCGUAGACGGUCUAGCAAGUCUGAUGUGAAAGGCAGGGGCUCAACUCCUGGACUGCAUUGGAAACUGUUAGUCCUGAGUGUCGGAGAGGUAAGCGGAAUUCCUAGUGUAGCGGUGAAAUGCGUAGAUAUUAGGAGGAACACCAGUGGCGAAGGCGGCUUACUGGACGAUAACUGACGUUGAGGCUCGAAAGCGUGGGGAGCAAACAGGAUUAGAUACCCUGGUA